CUAAGGUUCGGCUCGAGCGUCAGCGAGAGAGCGUUGCCGCAGGCAACGACCCGAAGGGCGAAGCGCGCAGCGCUGAGUAAUCCUUCCCCCACCACCA
rnacentral:sRNA from 1 species